GAUAAAGACAACUCUGACAAUUGUUGAAGGAGAACGAGACCGAUAUAAGGCAAAACUACUGGCUGAAGAAAAUUCCAGACACCAACUGGAAGAGCAAAUACAAAAGCUGGAGCAUGGUCAUGCUUCUUUGAAAAGCGAGAAGUCCCAUCUCGAAAUUGAAUUCAAGACCAUGGAACAGAAACUGGACAUCAUGGAUAAGUUGUACCAACAGAAAGAGAAUGCACUCCAGCAAAAACUAACACAGGAAGAGUAUGAGCGUCGUGAAAAGGAGCAGA